rnacentral:rRNA from 1 species
GGGUUGUGAGGUUAAGCGACUAAGCGUACACGGUGGAUGCCCUGGCAGUCAGAGGCGAUGAAGGACGUGCUAAUCUGCGAUAAGCGUCGGUAAGGUGAUAUGAACCGUUAUAACCGGCGAUUUCCGAAUGGGGAAACCCAGUGUGUUUCGACACACUAUCAUUAACUGAAUCCAUAGGUUAAUGAGGCGAACCGGGGGAACUGAAACAUCUAAGUACCCCGAGGAAAAGAAAUCAACCGAGAUUCCCCCAGUAGCGGCGAGCGAACGGGGAGCAGCCCAGAGCCUGAAUCAGUGUGUGUGUUAGUGGAAGCGUCUGGAAAGGCGCGCGAUACAGGGUGACAGCCCCGUACACAAAAAUGCACAUACUGUGAGCUCGAUGAGUAGGGCGGGACACGUGGUAUCCUGUCUGAAUAUGGGGGGACCAUCCUCCAAGGCUAAAUACUCCUGACUGACCGAUAGUGAACCAGUACCGUGAGGGAAAGGCGAAAAGAACCCCGGCGAGGGGAGUGAAAAAGAACCUGAAACCGUGUACGUACAAGCAGUGGGAGCCUCUUUAUGGGGUGACUGCGUACCUUUUGUAUAAUGGGUCAGCGACUUAUAUUCUGUAGCAAGGUUAACCGAAUAGGGGAGCCGAAGGGAAACCGAGUCUUAACUGGGCGUUAAGUUGCAGGGUAUAGACCCGAAACCCGGUGAUCUAGCCAUGGGCAGGUUGAAGGUUGGGUAACACUAACUGGAGGACCGAACCGACUAAUGUUGAAAAAUUAGCGGAUGACUUGUGGCUGGGGGUGAAAGGCCAAUCAAACCGGGAGAUAGCUGGUUCUCCCCGAAAGCUAUUUAGGUAGCGCCUCGUGAAUUCAUCUCCGGGGGUAGAGCACUGUUUCGGCAAGGGGGUCAUCCCGACUUACCAACCCGAUGCAAACUGCGAAUACCGGAGAAUGUUAUCACGGGAGACACACGGCGGGUGCUAACGUCCGUCGUGAAGAGGGAAACAACCCAGACCGCCAGCUAAGGUCCCAAAGUCAUGGUUAAGUGGGAAACGAUGUGGGAAGGCCCAGACAGCCAGGAUGUUGGCUUAGAAGCAGCCAUCAUUUAAAGAAAGCGUAAUAGCUCACUGGUCGAGUCGGCCUGCGCGGAAGAUGUAACGGGGCUAAACCAUGCACCGAAGCUGCGGCAGCGACGCUUAUGCGUUGUUGGGUAGGGGAGCGUUCUGUAAGCCUGUGAAGGUGUGCUGUGAGGCAUGCUGGAGGUAUCAGAAGUGCGAAUGCUGACAUAAGUAACGAUAAAGCGGGUGAAAAGCCCGCUCGCCGGAAGACCAAGGGUUCCUGUCCAACGUUAAUCGGGGCAGGGUGAGUCGACCCCUAAGGCGAGGCCGAAAGGCGUAGUCGAUGGGAAACAGGUUAAUAUUCCUGUACUUGGUGUUACUGCGAAGGGGGGACGGAGAAGGCUAUGUUGGCCGGGCGACGGUUGUCCCGGUUUAAGCGUGUAGGCUGGUUUUCCAGGCAAAUCCGGAAAAUCAAGGCUGAGGCGUGAUGACGAGGCACUACGGUGCUGAAGCAACAAAUGCCCUGCUUCCAGGAAAAGCCUCUAAGCAUCAGGUAACAUCAAAUCGUACCCCAAACCGACACAGGUGGUCAGGUAGAGAAUACCAAGGCGCUUGAGAGAACUCGGGUGAAGGAACUAGGCAAAAUGGUGCCGUAACUUCGGGAGAAGGCACGCUGAUAUGUAGGUGAAGUCCCUCGCGGAUGGAGCUGAAAUCAGUCGAAGAUACCAGCUGGCUGCAACUGUUUAUUAAAAACACAGCACUGUGCAAACACGAAAGUGGACGUAUACGGUGUGACGCCUGCCCGGUGCCGGAAGGUUAAUUGAUGGGGUCAGCGCAAGCGAAGCUCUUGAUCGAAGCCCCGGUAAACGGCGGCCGUAACUAUAACGGUCCUAAGGUAGCGAAAUUCCUUGUCGGGUAAGUUCCGACCUGCACGAAUGGCGUAAUGAUGGCCAGGCUGUCUCCACCCGAGACUCAGUGAAAUUGAACUCGCUGUGAAGAUGCAGUGUACCCGCGGCAAGACGGAAAGACCCCGUGAACCUUUACUAUAGCUUGACACUGAACAUUGAGCCUUGAUGUGUAGGAUAGGUGGGAGGCUUAGAAGUGUGGACGCCAGUCUGCAUGGAGCCGACCUUGAAAUACCACCCUUUAAUGUUUGAUGUUCUAACGUUGACCCGUGAUCCGGGUUGCGGACAGUGUCUGGUGGGUAGUUUGACUGGGGCGGUCUCCUCCUAAAGAGUAACGGAGGAGCACGAAGGUUGGCUAAUCCUGGUCGGACAUCAGGAGGUUAGUGCAAUGGCAUAAGCCAGCUUGACUGCGAGCGUGACGGCGCGAGCAGGUGCGAAAGCAGGUCAUAGUGAUCCGGUGGUUCUGAAUGGAAGGGCCAUCGCUCAACGGAUAAAAGGUACUCCGGGGAUAACAGGCUGAUACCGCCCAAGAGUUCAUAUCGACGGCGGUGUUUGGCACCUCGAUGUCGGCUCAUCACAUCCUGGGGCUGAAGUAGGUCCCAAGGGUAUGGCUGUUCGCCAUUUAAAGUGGUACGCGAGCUGGGUUUAGAACGUCGUGAGACAGUUCGGUCCCUAUCUGCCGUGGGCGCUGGAGAACUGAGGGGGGCUGCUCCUAGUACGAGAGGACCGGAGUGGACGCAUCACUGGUGUUCGGGUUGUCAUGCCAAUGGCACUGCCCGGUAGCUAAAUGCGGAAGAGAUAAGUGCUGAAAGCAUCUAAGCACGAAACUUGCCCCGAGAUGAGUUCUCCCUGACCCUUUAAGGGUCCUGAAGGAACGUUGAAGACGACGACGUUGAUAGGCCGGGUGUGUAAGCGCAGCGAUGCGUUGAGCUAACCGGUACUAAUGAACCGUGAGGCUUAACCUUACAACGCCGAAGCUGUU